UGCAGUUUGAUCUCUGACUGCUGUGCUAGCAAUCAGUGAGACUCCCUGGGCAUAGGACCCUCCGAGCCAGGUGGGGGUUAUAAUCUCGUGGUGCGCCGUUUUUUAAGCCCGUCGGAAAAGCGCAGUAUUCCGGUUGGAGUGACCCGAUUUCCAGGUGCUGUCCGUCACCCCUUUCUUUGACUGGGAAAGGGAACUCCCUGACCCCUUGCCCUUCCCAAGUGAGGCAGUGCCUCGCCCUGCUUCGGCUCGCGCACGGUGCACGCACUCACUGACCUGCGCCCACUGUCUGGCACUCCCUAGUGAGAUGAACCCGGUACCUCAGAUGGAAAUGCAGAAAUCACCCGUCUUCUGCGUCGCUCAAGCUGGGAGCUGUAGACCGGAGCUGUUCCUACUCGGCCAUCUUGGCUCCUCCCCGCCAAGCCUGUCAGUCAGAAUUCCAUUGCAUGCCUGUUCUUGAACAACCAUGGUCAAGGAGACAAGAUUCCUGAUGACUGACUCACACUAAUCAAAACUCAGCCACUGGUCCUAGCAAACUUCAUGAGAUGAGAGUGGAGAGUGUCCCAUCUCAUCUUAAGCAUAUGACUGUCCCAUACCCAUACAAAAUCAGGUUCUUUGCACAAAGAACAAUAGAGGUGAAUGACCAAUGAGUAAUCAAAGAGAGAGUUUUUCAGAAUAUGACUGCAUUUGGAAAUAGGGACUUUAAAGAGGUGAUUAAGUUACAAUGAGGCCACUAGAGAAGACAAUUAUCCAUUUGGACUGAUGUGCUUAGAAGAAGAGCAUAUUGGUAAAAAGAGACACCAGAGGUACAACAGCACAGAGAAAGACCAUGUGAGGACAUAGUGAGAAGAUGGCCAUCCCAUCUGCAAGCCAAGGACAGAGGCCUCAGGAGAAACCAACCCUGAUGACACCUUGAUCUUGGACUUCACAGCCUCCAGAACUAACAUACUCAAGUGUCUCAGCUCAACAUUUGGAGAUGAGCCAUCCUCCUCUUAUUGUAAGAAAAGCUUGAAGGAGUAUUUUCACAGCGAUGGAACUGGAAGUUAAGGCAACUUCUAUCAGCAUCAAGAAAAGAAAAGAAGUAUUCACCACUUACGAAACAACAUCUCUCUUCUCAUCAAUAGUUUGAUUUACAGCAUCUACUGCAGAAGACCUCAAUAAUGCAUAAGAACAUCUGGAAGUACGGUAAUUUCAGCUAUCAGAGAUAAGAAUUGACACAGAACAGCAUCUGGAAAUCUGCAGAUUUGGAUGCACAAACAAUUAGACAUAAGACACAGCAUAAUGAAGUAUUUGUUUUCAUAGAGGAUCAUAGAAAUUCAUAAACAGAGGAUGAAGAAACACAGAAGACAGAGGAAGGAUUUAGUUUUGGGAACAUGUGCUAAUGGCCAUCAAACAAUUCUGAAAUAACUGAAAGAGAACCUUUGAAACACCCUUUAGAUUAAGAGCCUGGCUUGUAAUCUGUAACAACAAACGGUAUUACAAUGAGAAAAAUAAAUGUCCUGUCAAGGCAUUCCUUCAAUGACAUCUUGUCACACAAGUCUAUAUCCAAGGCUGCCCACAAAGUGGAAAAAUGGGGAAAAUGUUAUUCUCCAGUCCCUGCAGUACAGGACCAAAAACUGAAGUGGAUGUCACUGUCUUCUGUCCUAAGAAAAAAGAGGAUAAACUGUAGUCCCAGCCACUCCGGAGGCUGAGGCAGGAGAAUGGCAUGAACCCGGGAGGCGGAGCUUGUAAUGAGUCGAGAUGGCGCCACUGCACUCCAGCCUGGGCGACAGAGCAAGACUCCAUCUAAAAAAAAAAAAAAAAAAAAAAAAAAAAGAGGAUAAAAUUUAGGACUCACUAUACGGACGGAAAUUGAAGGGAAAAAUCUCUGGAAGGUGAAGCCAUAAAAGCUGCAUAUAAACACCACAUACAUCCUUGUCUGAUGUCUAAUCUACAUAUGCAUCAUGAUUUUAAGGCGAAUGCCAUAGCUGGAAGACUGAAACAACUGAGCAGAGGUUCCAACUUUUUUCAAUUAG
rnacentral:lncRNA from 10 species